rnacentral:rRNA from 1 species
UGAGCAACCUGCCCUUGACCCUGGAAUAACAGCUGGAAACAGCUGCUAAUACCGGAUACGACCUCCGAUGGCAUCAUCUGGAGGUGGAAAGCUCCGACGGUCAAGGAUGGGCCCGCGGCCUAUCAGCUUGUUGGUGAGGUAACGGCUCACCAAGGCUUCGACGGGUAGCCGGCCUGAGAGGGCGACCGGCCACACUGGGACUGAGAUACGGCCCAGACUCCUACGGGAGCAG